rnacentral:lncRNA from 1 species
CCAUCCUUUUUCUUAUCCUUAGGUUUUGCAUUUUCCUCCCGCACAAUAUCUUUACCUUUUAAGGCCUUAUUUCUAUAUUUAUCCACUUCAUCCACAGCUAUCAAAUUUUUAAACUUUAUACCUUGAGUCAAGUAGUCUGAUUGUUGAGGCGCAAUAUCCUGGUUAGUAUGAUUUAUUGAUGCUUGAGAUAGUUGAGGCAGAAUAUCCUUACUAACAAGGUUUGUUGGGGCCUGUGUUUGUUGUGACAGAAUAUCCUUGCUGGUGAUGUUUGUUGGUGCUUGAGUUUGUUGAGUCACAAUGUCUUGGUUGGCAUUUUAAGUGGAUAUUGGAAUUCCUGUUGUGGAUGGAUCCGGUAAUAUAGUAAGAGAUGAAGUUUCCAACUUCUGCUUCUCUUGUCCAUGAGUACCAUGGGCUGUUGUGGAAAGCUCUGACAUAAUAGGGAGAGAUAAAGUUCCUGAUUUGUCUUGUCUAUGGCGCUGUCCCUGCGAGUCGAAAUGCUCACACGUCUGCGUCACCACCGGUUCUACUACCA